rnacentral:rRNA from 1 species
GAUGAACGCUGGCGGCGUGCUUAACACAUGCAAGUCGAACGGAAAGGCCCAAGCUUGCUUGGGUACUCGAGUGGCGAACGGGUGAGUAACACGUGGGUGAUCUGCCCUGCACUUCGUGAUAAGCCUGGGAAACUGGGUCUAAUACCGGAUAGGACCACAUUUUGGAUGGUGUGGUGGAAAGUUUUUCGGUGUGGGAUGAGCUCGCGGCCUAUCAGCUUGUUGGUGGGGUAAUGGCCUACCAAGGCGUCGACGGGUAGCCGGCCUGAGAGGGUGUACGGCCACAUUGGGACUGAGAUACGGCCCAGACUCCUACGGGAGGCAGCAGUGGGGAAUAUUGCACAAUGGGCGCAAGCCUGAUGCAGCGACGCCGCGUGGGGGAUGACGGCCUUCGGGUUGUAAACUCCUUUCGCUAGGGACGAAGCGCAAGUGACGGUACCUGGAGAAGAAGCACCGGCUAACUACGUG